UACGUAGGUGGCGAGCGUUGUCCGGAAUUACUGGGUGUAAAGGGAGCGCAGGCGGGGAAGCAAGUCAGCUGUGAAAUCUAUGGGCUUAACCCAUAACGUGCAGUUGAAACUGUUUUUCUUGAGUGGAGUAGAGGUAGGCGGAAUUCCGAGUGUAGCGGUGAAAUGCGUAGAGAUUCGGAGGAACACCAGUGGCGAAGGCGGCCUACUGGGCUCUAACUGACGCUGAGGCUCGAAAGUGUGGGGAGCAAACAGGAUUAGAUACCCUGGUAGU
rnacentral:rRNA from 1 species